AAUGAAGAGAAAAAGGGAGAGAAAGAACCGUGAGAGAGGAAGAGCAAAGAGAAUGAUUUUCCUGCACUUUGAGGAAGGAAAAAGAGAGUUUUUGCUGCAAUUUUGGAGGAAGAAGAAAGCUGAAAAUUUUGAGAAAAAUUGGAGCUAUUUUUGCCAAUUUGUGCAAAAAAAUUGGAGCUGUUUGCUGCCAAUUUGUGCAAAAAAUUGGACAGCUUUGUGCUGCCAAAAUUGAGGAGUUUGUUGCUGGAAAUUGAGCUAGAAAUCUGCCGAUUGUAGAGCAGAAAAUGGAAGCAAAAAGGGUGAGAAAAUGAGGUUUUUGGUGACCGAUUUUGAGAGGAAAGGAAGAGAGGAAGCCAUGGUGGUGAAGAAAGGAAACCACGGUGGUGAAGGGAAGCCACGGGCUGGAAAGAAAAAAGAAGAAGAAACAUGGAAGAGAGAAAAAGAAAGAAAAAGAAAAAAAAAGAAAAGAAAUAGAAAAUAAAUGGGCAUGACCCAAUGGAAAAUAAGUGGGCAUGACCCAAUAAAAAAUAAGUGGGCAUGGCCUAAUAGGAAAUAAAAAUAAAUGGGCUUAGCCUAAAUAGGAAAAAUGGAGAAGCCCAUGGAAAGGGCCCAAAGGUCAUAAAGAAAUGAAAAAGGCCUAAUGGAAAGUUUGUCGUGGAGGCGUGCCGAACGAAGUAUGUGACCGA